UUACGAUCAUAUCACAUUGAGACACCAGUUCUCAUACAAUCACCAAAGUUAAGCAACGUUGCGCUUAGUACCUAGAUGGGUGAGUACUUGGGAAUACCAGGUGUUGUAA